GUGGGGAAUUUUGGACAAUGGGCGCAAGCCUGAUCCAGCAAUGCCGCGUGCAGGAAGAAGGCCUUCGGGUUGUAAACUGCUUUUGUACGGAACGAAACGGUCCUGGUUAAUACCUGGGGCUAAUGACGGUACCGUAAGAAUAAGCACCGGCUAACUACGUGCCAGCAGCCGCGGUAAUACGUAGGGUGCAAGCGUUAAUCGGAAUUACUGGGCGUAAAGCGUGCGCAGACGGUUUUGUACGACAGGCGUGAAAUCCCCGGGCUCAACCUGGGAAUUGCGCUUGUGACUGCAAGGCUGGAGUGCGGCAGAGGGGGAUGGAAUUCCGCGUGUAGCAGUGAAAUGCGUAGAUAUGCGGAGGAACACCGAUGGCGAAGGCAAUCCCCUGGGCCUGCACUGACGCUCAUGCACGAAAGCGUGGGGAGCAAACAGGAUUAGAAACCCUGGUAGUCC
rnacentral:rRNA from 1 species